GGAUAGCCUCACUAUGGGUGCAAAUAGAGUGUAUGCAAAGUUUUCUUUCCUUAUAGUACACAGUUAGUUAUAUCAGCAAACAUCUUUGUUUUAUUACUUUCCUUCUUUCACAUUUGAAUUUUCAAUCAAUUGUUGCCUUACCCAAGGACUUCAAGCCAGAUUUUGAAGACUACUCACCAGGUACUUUCAGUAUCAGGCUGCAAGUGACAAAAACGGGGACUGAACGUGUAGGAGGUAAAGAUCUUUAAAAUACUCCUGCAGCUCUGUUAAGCACAAGCAAAAGUACCAAUGGCCCACAUCAAGUGUGAGGUACAUUUUUCUACUGUCUCCAACUAUUUCUGACCUCCUCAGGAAUAAAAAGACUCAGAAAUGAUCACCUCUCUGCAUAAAAUCCUGAAGUCAAACAUGAAUAAAAUGGAUAAAACUCACCAUUCUGAAUACUAUACAGGACUUCUGAUAUGGGAGUUGUCUAAAUGAAAUGGAGGACUGGAGGGAAGUAUGAAGUGUACAAGGAACCUUCCUACAUUGGCACAGCCCCUUCUUGACCUGGUUGUCUGGUAUUUGUAAAUGUUUUCAAUCAACUCUCUAUGCCCGUAUUACCUCGCUUCAAUUUUGUUCUGAGCAGCCAUACAUCUGUGCACCACAGCAUGCUGAAGACCAAAUAUCUCUAAUUAGGAACAUAACACUUUUAAUAUGUUCCACAUGGGAUCAUCACAAAUAGAGUUUACUGCCACCACAGCUCCUUGAGGGUGAGAUGGCUUCACUGCCUGACCUGUGCUUUCACAAUGUCUAUCAUGAUUUUCACCUUCCUCUUUCUCAUCUGUGCUUCCUAUAAUAUGAUGGAUAUUUCUGUUCAUAAAUGUUCCAGAAUGGUGUCGUAUAUC
ensembl:lncRNA